CAAUAACGUAUAUUAAAGUUGUUGCGGUUAAAAAGCUCGUAGUUGGAUUUCUGUUGAAAGCGAUCGGUCCCCUCUCUGAGGGCGUAUCUGAUUCGCUUUUGGCAUCCUCCUGUAGCACGUUUCUGUCCUUCACUGGAUGGAGCGGGAUGCAGGACUUUUACUUUGAGGAAAUUCGAGUGUUCACAGCAGGCAAUCGCCCUGAAGAUAUUAGCAUGGAAUAAUAAUAUAGGACCUUGGUUCUAUUUUGUUGGUUUCUAGCACUAGGGUAAUGAUUAAUAGGGAUAAUUGGGGGCAUUCGUAUUAACGCGUCAGAGGUGGAAUUCUUGGAUUGCGUUACGACGAACUACUGCGAAAGCAUUUGCCAAGGAUGUUUUCAUUGAUCAAGAACGAAAGUAUGGGGAUCGAAGACGAUCAGAUACCAU
rnacentral:rRNA from 1 species